CUGCUCCUCUCUCGCUCUCUCUCUCUCUCUCUCUCUCUCUCUCUCUCUCUCUCAUGAUUCAGAGAAAGCGGUGAGCGGAAAAUCAUUAACAACAGCAACCCCAACAGAAGCAAUGACACCCGAUUCAGCCGCUAGUGUGCUGGUGUAUAUCGGGACAGGUCUGGGGAUGGUGGGGUGUGUGUUGGUCCUCGUUCUCCUCAUAUUCAUCAGACAAAGGAACAGAACAAAAAUAACUGGUGAGACACACACACACACACACACACACACACACACACACACACACACACACACACACACACACACACACACANNNNNNNNNNNNNNNNNNNNAGAAAGGGAGGAGAGAACGGUUGAGGAAGCAGAAUCAGGAGAAAGGAGCAGGAGAGAGAGAGCGAAGGUUGCGACGGCGCAAUACCAUCUGAGUAGGGGCAGAGUGAGUAGUGUUGGAGGAAAGCGAGAGGGAAAAGGAUACAAGGUAGUGGUCGGAGACUUGGAGGGGAGUUGCAGUGAGAUUAGUAGAAGAACAGCAUCUAGUAAAGAUGAGGUCAAGCAUAUUGCCUGCCUUGUGAGUAGGGGGGCACGGUGAGAGGGUGAGGUCAAAAGAGGAGAGGAGUGGAAAGAAGGAGGCAGAGAGGAAUGAGUCGAAGGUAGACGUGGGGAGGUUAAAGUCACCCAGAACUGUGAGAGGUGAGCCAUCCUCAGGAAAGGAACUUAUCAAGGCGUCAAGCUCAUUGAUGAACUCUCCAAGGGAACCUGGAGGGCGAUAAAUGUUAAGGAUGUUAAGCUUGAAUGGGCUAGUGACUGUGACAGCAUGGAAUUCAAAGGAGGAGAUAGACAGAAGUCUCUCCUCCUGUCUGUGGUCAGGUCUGAUGGUGUGGACCAGUGCUGGUCUGGUAGUCAUGGUGACAGUGUUAGGACUGGUCCUGCUCCUGUUCUACAGACAGAGGAGAGGAACCAGGAGAACACCACCACUACCACCAGUCUCCUCCAACACACAACCUGACCCUACUGGAGAGGUGAGACAUAUCAGGGUGUGUGUGUGUGUGUGUGAGUCCAUAACAACCUGUAGUGUAUAGGUGAUAGACAGGGAGGUGGUAAACUAAACAUCUAAGGGUUGAGUGUGUGAGUCUACAGAAUCCUCUAGUGGGUUUCUACUGUAGUCUGUUAUCAUUCCUCAAUCUGUCAACAUGAAGAACCUGCUGCAAACAGCACUUGUUCAUUAGACAGCUCAGUUUCAACAGAUAAUGAAUUCUCAGACUCAUAGGCUGCGUUAACACAGGCAGUCCAAUUCUGAUCUUAAUGAUUGGUCUUUUGACCAAUCAGAUUAGAUAUUUAGCCAAUAAUUGGGCGACCUGUGUAAAUGCAGCCAUAUUAACAGUGUAGUUCUUCAUUGACAUGCUUUGGUUUUAACCUUGACUCAUAUUGGCUGAGGGCCCUGCAUUCUUUUCCGACAAAGUUAAUUCUCCUAACCUGCUAUUUUGUUAGUACUAACCUGCCACAUUAAUUCUCCUAACCUGCCCCAUUAACUGCUCCUGAUUGGCUCAGUGGUCUAAUGAACUGCAUCUCAGUGCUAGAGGCGUCACUACAGACCCUGCUUCGAUUGCAGGCUGUAUCACAACCGUCCGUGAUUGGGAGUCCCAUGAGGCGGAGCAAAAUUCACCCAGCGUCGUCCGGGUUAGGGUUUGUGUAAGGGGUGCAUGUUGGUGGCAGGGAAGUCAGGCACAGGAGAACGAACUUGGCAGAAACGGAGUUGUUUAAUAAAUGCUGACAAAACUCCAAAACAACCAAAAUGUACAAAAUAACAAGUGGGUACAAAACCCGUUGCACACCAACACUAAAUAGCACAUCACAUACAAACAAAACAAUCUCCAACAAGGACAUGAGGGGAAACAGAGGGUUAAAUACACAACAUGUAAUUGAUGGGAUUGGAACCAGGUGUGAAGGAAGAAAAGACAAAACCAAUGGAAAAUGAAAAAUGGAUCAGUGAUGGCUAGAAGGUCGGUGACGUCGACCGCCGAACACCGCCCGAACAAGAAGAGGGACCGACUUCGGCGGAAGUCGUGACAGUUUGGCAGUUUUUUUUUACUGACUUGCCUGGUUAAAUAAAAAUGUAUGUUAAUUAUCCUAACCUGCCACAAUAAUUAUCCUAACCUCCAACUCUAAUUAUCCUAACCUGCCUAUGCUGGCACAGACACACUCCACGAAUGCAGUUACCCAUACUUGAUUCCACACUGUGACAUCUAUGCUAACGCCAGCUUCUCCAAAUAUGAAAUAAAUUCAAGCUAUUCUACUGUGGACUUCCCAAAGAUGAUAAAAAUCGAAGCUAUUCUACUGCAGAUGGCCCAACUUCUCUCAUUCUGUAACGUGGGUCGUACAAAGGGGACCAAGGCGCAGCGUGUAGAGUGCUCAUCUUCUUUUUAUUGACGUAACGUGAACACUUAAACCAAAAUAACAAAACGACGAAACAGUUCCGUAAGGCAAAACAGGCUAUACAGGAAACAACCACCCACAAAACACAAGUGAAACAACAUCAAAUAAAUAUGGCCUCCAAUUAGAGACGACAACCAGCUGCCUCUAAUUGGAGGUCAUGCCAAAAAAACAACAUAGAAAUAGAAAAACUAGAUUUAACCAUAGAAAUAGAAAACAUAGACCAAAAAUCAAAAACACCAAAACACACAAAACAAACACCCCCUGCCACGCCCUGACCAUACUAUAAUGACAAAUAACCCCUUUUACUGGUCAGGACGUGACACAUCCUUUCCAAUGUGGAUCUACCCAAAGAUUCUAGAGUCUCCUCAAGCCCUCUAACAGCCAGUGGAACCCAGGAUGAUUCCAUCUAUUCUACAGCCCAGCUACCCAAAGAUACAGUAGAAUCUACAAGAUACCCUGCUGUACAGCUCUCUAAAGACACUCCAGAAGAUGCCCCCUACUCUACAGCCCAGCUACCCAAAAUUAUGUGGUACUAUAUAAUCUAUACAAGGGAUGCAUCCCAAAUGACACCCUAUUACCUAUCCCUCAUAUGGACCCUGGUCAAAGGCAGUGCUCUAUAGGGAACAAGGUCCCAUUUGGGAUGAAGGGAAGCUCCCUGUAGAGAGAUGAAGGGUUGUCACCACAGAGCCGCCAUCUUGAAAUGACAUGAAAAAAACUAUCCCUUUCAUGUUUCAAAUCCUCCUUGACAUAUUGUAUUAAAACAGCUCAUGUGGUUUUACUGUAUAUAAUGUAUGUAAAAUAUGAACAUCUGGCUUUAAAAUCACUUUUAUCUCCAGAUUUUUUGAAAGUCAACCAACACUAUUGUAAAUAUUUGUGUUUUGUCAUAUCAUCUUGGCUUCAUUUUGGCUGUUCUAAUGAUUAGGACAGUAAUACCAUAAUAGUCAGUUGUAUCUUUGCGAUUUACAUAUUGUAACGGCCGUCGUUCAAAUGAGACCAAGGUGCAGCGGAGGAUGUGUUCAUCUUCAGGAAUUUAUUAAAGAAAGAACACGUUAGACAAAAACCGACAGCCAAACAGUCCUGUCAGGUGCAAACACUAAACAGAAACAAUUACCCACAAAACCCAGAGGAAAAACAUGCUCCUUAUGUGUGACUCCCAAUCAGCAACGAGCUUCAGCUGUGCCUGAUUGGGAGCCACACACGGCCCAAAACAAAGAAAUACAAAAACAUAGAGAAAGGAACAUAGAACGCCCACCCAAUGUAACACCCUGGCCUAACCAAAAUAAAGAACAAAAAACCCCUCUCUAUGGCCAGGGCAUUACACAUAUCUAUUGUAUAUGUAAAUAAACUGUGCAUUUCAAAGCAUUUCAUUAAAACUCAUCAAAAUGUUUAAAACAUUGUUAAUGUGUAGUGUGUUUAUGUCAGUGUGUUUGUAGUGAAGGUACUAUAACAGGAGUAUUGUAGGGUGUAAUAGAGGUCCAGGAUAUUGUUGAGCCUGUGUUUUAAUCCUAACCCUGUCUAUUAGAGGUCCAGGAUAAUGUUGAGCCUGUAUUUUAAUCCUAACCCUGUCUAAUUUAUCAUAAACCUAACCCUGUCUAAUAGAAGUCUAGGAUAAUGUUGAGCCUGUGUUUUAAUCCUAACCCUGUCUAAUAGAGGUCUAGGAUAUUGUUGAGCCUGUGUUUUAAUCCUAACCCUGUCUAUUAGAGGUCUAGGAUAUUGUUGCAUCUGUGUUUUAAUCCUAAUCCUGUCUAAUAGAGGUUUAGGAUAAUGUUGAGCCUGUGUUUUAAUCCUAACCCUGUCUAAUAAAGGUCCAGGAUAAUGUUGAGCCUGUAUUUUAAUCCUAACCCUGUCUAAUAGAAGUCUAGGAUAAUGUUGAGCCUGUGUUUUAAUCCUAACCCUGUCUAAUAGAGGUUUAGGAUAAUGUUGAGCCUGUGUUUUAAUCCAAACCCUGUCUAAUAGAGGUUUAGGAUAAUAUUGAGCCUGUGUUUUAAUCCUAACCCUGUCUAAUAGAGGUCCAUGAUAUUGUUGAGCCUGUGUUUUAAUCCAAAUGUUUAAAACAUUGUUAAUGUGUAGUGUGUUUAUGUCAGUGUGUUUGUAGUGAAGGUACUAUAACAGGAGUACUGUAGGGUGUAAUAGAGGUCCA
rnacentral:lncRNA from 8 species